rnacentral:ncRNA from 1 species
CACAGGUUUGGUCCUAGCCCUUUCAUUUGUUAAUAGUAAACUUACACAUGCAAGUAUCAGCAAACCAGUGAAAAUGCCCUCUGACUUACAAAAACUGUAAUAGAGGGGCGGGCAUCAAGUACACUAUUCAAUGUAGCUAAUAACGCCUUGCUUAGCCACACCCCCACGGGAUACAGCAGUGAUAAAUAUUAAGCUAUAAACAAAAGUUUGACUAAGUUAUACUAUAAUCUAGGGCCGGUAAAUUUCGUGCCAGCCACCGCGGUCAUACGAUUGGCCCAAAUAAAUGAACAUACGGCGUAAAGCGUGUUUAAGAUCUAGAUUUAAUAAAGUCAAAUUGUAACUAAUCUGUAAAAAGUCUUUAGUUACUGUAAGCCCUGAAACGAAAGUAACUUUAAUCAUCUGACUACACGACAACUAAGAUCCAAACUGGGAUUAGAUACCCCACUAUGCUUAGUUUUAAACUAAAAAAGUUAUAACAACAAAACCAUUCGCCAGAGAACUACUAGCUAAAGCUAAAAACUCAAAGGACUUGGCGGUGCUUUAUAUCCCCCUAGAGGAGCCUGUUCUAUAAUUGAUAAACCCCAAUAGACCUCACCAACCCUUGCUAAUUCAGCCUAUAUACCGCCAUCUUCAGCAAACCCUAAAAAGGUCUUACAGUAAGCAUAAUCAUGUUACAUAAAAACGUUAGGUCAAGGUGUAGCUAAUGAGUUGGGAAGAAAUGGGCUACAUUACCUAAUUUAAGGUCAUCCUAGACACGAAAGUUUUUAUGAAACAAAAAACUAAAGGUGGAUUUAGUAGUAAAUUAAGAAUAGAGCGCUUAAUUGAAUAGGGCCAUAAAGCACGCACACACCGCCCGUCACCCUCCUCAAAUAAAAAGAAUAACCUAACAUCUUCCUAUGACAAUAUUUUAACCUACUAGAGGAGACAAGUCGUAACAAGGUAAGCGUACUGGAAAGUGCGCUUGGAAAACU